CACUGCCAUGGCUGCAGCCCUGGUGCAGAAGUGUCCCCCUUGCUCCCGCGGGGCAGGGAGCCAGGGCUCCAGCUGCAGCCAGGCCCUUGCAAACAACUGGAUUAUGCCCAGCCUCUCCUGUCUGGGGAUUCCCCUUGUACACUGAAGGCAGCAACUUCAUCAGCUGCUGAAGCCUCGCAAGCUGGGAGACUCGGACCUCACGGACUGGAGCGAAUGAAGCUGUCACGCUUUCAUGCUCCCAUUACCUGCCAGACACUUUAAUCCUGAGUUUAGCAGAUGUUAAUCCCGGCCCGGGUGACUUGUGAGGAGGAAAGCUGCUCCCUUGGGAAUUCACCCGGGUCCGCAGGGGAAGGGAGCAGGGUGGGAGCAGCCGCACGGUGCCCAUUCCCCUCAGAGCCCGGUGGCGCUCGGGGAGAGGCCUGGCAGCUUCCUCUUCCUUCUGUUUGAAGCCGGCUUAAAGAAACAACUAGGAGGGAAGGGAGGGGGGAGGUUUUGUUAAAAUGUAAACGCGCGUUCAAACAAAGCAAUCUGUAAACAGGAAGAAAGGAAAGCAGGGCAGAAGCUCGACACAAAGCAUGACUCCGAAGCCAGCGGGCCGAAUGCGGAGGCGCGCAGCACCUGCCAUUUGCAGCGGCCUCCGAUCGGCCUCCUCCUUUACGAGGAGUGAGUCAUCUUGCGUCAGCUGAGGAUGGGCUUCAUGCAAUUAUUUAUUUAUGUCCAACCCUCCUCCCUGCCACCAUGCAUCCCUGAUCUCAUCCCCCUCAGAAAACAGCUGCUUUAUUACGUGAGGGCUGGAAAACUCCAUCUCACUUGGCUGUUGCUGAGGCUCCUUGUUUCCCAGUGGCUGGCUGGCAAGGAGACAGCAGGAAUGAGCUGCACCGCACCUCACAGGCAGCGUGCUCUGCUUGUUUUGCUUUUUGGACAGCAGCACCCCUCUCUCAGGGUGGGAUGGAGCUGGGGGCCUCCUCUAGUGAACAAACAUGCCGGGGGAUGUUUGCAGACACCAGCAGGCUCCAGCCUGCACGCCCCCAGGCACAGAUAUUGCUCAGGUGUCAUAGCCUCAGAAGGAGAAUGAGGCCUUCGAGAACAAGGCACUCAAAAGCCAGGGGAGGAAUUUCCCUGCUUAGCUCCUGCUGCUGCAGGGGACUCUUCCCUCCUUCCUGCUCUCUUUGCUGCCAGGUGUGUGUUGUUCUCCUGUUUCUGCUAAAAACAACACAGCAUCCAGAAGUGGACAUGGACCACUGGCUGUACCAAACAACAGUGUGCGGUAGCAGCGCCAGACACACACACAUGUACAGCAUCACCAUCUAUUGCUGGCAGUUCCCAGGAACACCCUGGGGCCAGCACAGCAUCCCAGUUCACCCUACAGGACAAGCAACUUGGGGCAGAGGUGGCACAUCCCAUGUCCCAGCCAUAGGGAGGAAAGUAGGAUGUGAUGCCAACAGAUGCCGCUAAUUUAUCUUUCACACAUGAAAUCCUGUACCUACUGAACUGGAAUGAUUUUCAGCAGAUUUUUCUGAUGCAAAGCCAAACUCUGCUCUAACUAGUUAUCAAUUGCUUCCAUAACACAGCUCAGGACUGAGGAGGAAAACACAGAAAUGACUGGCAGUUAAGGAAUUCAGGCUUUCCAGAAGGCGACUGGGAGGAGUCGCUGGGGAAGUGGGGAGGGGUGGUAGAAAGAGAGUUACUCUAACAAAUGAUGGGAACAUGUUCCUCACUUAUUGCAUCCAACUGUUUUUGGGUACAGACUUGAAUAAUUCAUGCAUUAGAACUAUCAUCUCCCACAGAGAGAAUUGUGAUAGUCCAAUUGUCACUGUGCUUCAGCAAUGGGUUCAGCUGCUCCCAGCCACACCAAAAAGGCUUAUUGCAAAAGUGGAGCAAGGAUGUGAGCACAGCCAUGGGGGAAUCUGUGCCAUAAAUCUGUGGAUCGCAUUCCAUCAGCCUGCACAAAACACCCUGGCUGGGAGCAGCACCCAAGAAGCAUCUCCUGCCUGGAGAGUGAACUCCUUUCAUUUUCCCCCACAUCCUCCACAUAACCUUGGUGAAAUGCACUCGGUUUUACUCAGAGCACCCACAGCUCCACUCCCAACUGGUGUAGGGGGAGAGGUGUAAAAUCACACCUUCCCCGUAGCAGACUUACCCUGUACACUAUCCGAAACCACACGGCUCAUCUGCGCUCCUGUCCUCAUCUCACUUUACAUUCAACACGAGGGCUACAGCUCCCCAGGUGCUGCCAGGCCAGGCAGGAAGGUUUGGAGAGGUAACACAGCCAGCCAGGUCUCUCACACGCACAGCUACCUGCUGCAGGUGACCUGACUUGCAGAGCUGCAGCCACUGCCCCAGGAGAAAGUUUCCAGGCAGCCAGCAUCACAAUGCUCUGCCUUUGUCAGGAUGCUCCACUGGAGAACAAUUUAGUGGCUCUGGGCAGAAAUUCCCUCCUCCAGCAACAUGUCUCUGCAGGAGCCUGUUAUAGUAGCCUCCUUCCAGCUGUUUAGGGACAGACCAGAGGGGCUGGGAACAAUCCGGGACAAAGAAAUCCAUGCACUGCCCAGCCACAGGUAUGCUGUCAGGGAAUCAGUUUUAAAGAGGCAACCAUGAAGUGUUUUGGAAGGAAGCUAAAGUGGUAUUUGGGUUUGAGGAGACUGAAGGAAAGAACAGCUAUUAAGUUACCUUGAUCAUCUGAUGGGGGUUUCCAGACUCCAGGUGAUGAGAAAGGACUGUUUGCUACCAUCUUUGCCCCAUAUUCCUUUUUUUUUCCUUUGGAAACCCCCUAUGGGUUUCCCUACCUCCUGACCUGGCAGCUCUAAUUUAUGCUAACCUUGGAGGCCAUCAUGUCUGCUGAAGUUCUAGAGGAUGCAUUAACCAGAGACAUCUCACCUCCAGCCUCCAGCCACCCCCACAAAAGAGCAGCUGCAUCAGCUCUUGUCUGCCGAGACCUUCCCUGGCCAGAGGGAUACAAGCCCGUCACAUCACUGCUUGUGGGACAGCUCAGACUGCAGCACAGACAUACGGAAGUUCUGUCCCACAGCAAUGCGUCUUUCACCAAUACUUAAAGAAAAAAAAAAGCACCUGGAAGUGUGAGGAAAACUGUGCUUCAAAAGAUUUAUUACAUAUAUUUGUACAUAUUUUACAUGAAUGGAAUGUUAAACAUACAACCUAAAAAUCAAUAAAAAAUAUUUUCAUUCGUGAUUAUGUACUGGCAAACCACUGAAAAGAGUACCUUAGAACAACUUAAGUCAACUUGCAAUCAUACUGCUCAAUUAAAAAAAAACAAACAAAACAACAAACAAACAAAUAUAUUUUACAUUUACAUUAGACAUUGCAAAUUACAUUCCGAUUUCUGCUCCGGGUAAUGAAGGAAGGUAUUGUGUCCAUUACCACUGCACAUACAGGUGGCAUUUCAGAAGCUAGCAUGGACCUCCCUCUAACUCACUGUGGGCAAGGUUGGCUCUGUAGGAAGAGGCAUAUAAAAAAAAGAGAGCACACACUCUGCUCCCUACCAGCAGGUAUCUGCCAAAGGAUGGGAAGAGCCAGAAUGAGAUUUGUAAUCAAGGGAUAAAGGUUAACGCUGGAUCACCACUCAUUCAGUGCCACACUGCAGCUCUUAAAAUUUGUUACAAGUAGUUUUUAAGUAAUUCACUAAAGCAUCCCCUCUACAGCUAAGCCACCUCCCUUCUUCCUUGAAAGUUAUAGUGCUUUGGCAAUAUCAGCUAGGGGAGAAUUCUUCACUGUAUGGUAACGAAUAUUCCAGCUCCAUCUUAAUAUAUACAAGAGCAUAGAAUCAAGCUUUGAUGUCUCUUCCUCUUAGAAUUUCACACCUUGAGAGCUUGUGACCAGUCGUGCUGAGAAGUGUUUACUAUGAAAUAUAACAUAUCACCAUUAAAAGGGACAGAUUUGAGGGAAAACAAGAGGAACAGGAUUCAGCAACAGAUUAUGUUCUUGCAACGUCGGGUUACACUUGAAACUCUGCCAAAAUCGAGCAAAUCCUAUUUAUCGUUGCAAAAUCUUUGCCAAAGCACACCCAAGGGCAAAAGUCUCUCAAACAAACACACAUAGAUUAAAAGCUGCCAGAAAGAUCCGUGAGUGGGCUGGCUGCCUUCUAAUUCUUGUACACUGGCAACUUAUUAGAUCCAAGACAAAACCAAGUCCACCCUUUUUCAGGUGCAGGAUAUUCCUAUGGUGCAGGAUAUUCCUUUUUCAGGUGCAAGAUAUUCCUAUGAUGGUUUACCUGAGCAAGUCUUCAACAACUAAUAAUGCCCCACAGUGAGGUCAUUUUACAGCUUAUUCCAUCAUCAGCUCUGAUGUAAAAAUUGAGACAUGACUUCACAGAACACAAGCAGCUUGGAAAGCCAGCCUAUAGUUGUGGAGUAAGAUAACCAAAUGUAAUUUGAGAGUAUGGACUGGGUUGGUUUUUCUAACCCCCAUCAGGUUAAACCAUCUCCAACCUGAUUUUUACAAGCAGGUUACUUAUGUGGAGAAACAGAAACAUGAUAGAUUUUUCCUUCAGGAAACAAAUCCUGGACAUAGUUCUGUUAUGAAUUUCUCACACGGAGCAUUUUGAAUGACAAAAAUUUAAGUGGAAGGAGCUGCAUGAAAAAACCCCACAUUUGGCUGGAUUGUAGGAAAUCCAUAAGAAGCCUUCUCUUACAGUUACAACCUCUUACAUCACUUCUGCUGAUGCCAAUAGAGAGCCUAUUGAUAUGGGAAUAUGGCCUAACAUAUCUCGUCUUCAGCUAGGCAGAGAAGAAAUUGAUACUAAAAGGACUUGUAAGCUUGGAAGGGUGGAAAGUGAAUCAUCAAAUAUAGCACUCAUCAAAAAAAGAGAUAAUCCUCCACUAGUAAAGGUGAGCUGGAAGAUCCCAUAGUAGCACUUCUGCACUCCCAGGUGUGUGGUAGUCUCUCAGCAGGAAAAUCCCAACUGCACAGCAGAAUUAGUACCAAAUUUGCACACAAAUUCUCCUUCAAUACAGGAAAGCGGCUAAAAGCCACAAGAAACUCAGAGGGAUCACUGCCUGUAUCAAAACCAACAUGUUUUGCCACCAUUUACAAAGAGAGAAUAGUAACAUUCAAGUGCCAAGUUCCUUGCUUUUGGUGGAACACGGAAGAAAUGGAGCAAGUUUCUAAAGCCCUCACGCAGAAAAGGCAGCGCACUAAAGGUGUUCUUAAGCACAUCUCGCAUAUUAGACAUAUCCCUCCAGAAACACCAAGGAUCCACAUUUCUGAAUAGAAAUUAUCUUUCCCAUAUUUACUGAGAUUUUAGUUUCCUGGGAGUCUCUUCUACCAGCUCUCUAGUCUUUCAGCAAGGCUUAAUUAAAAACCCAGUGCUCCUAAAAUUAAGAAGUAGGAUAAAUGUAUAAAUCUUGAGAUUCAGUCAUAAAUCCCCUUUACAUCAUAAGUGGAGAUGCAGGAAAAAAACCAAGGUCACAAGUAUCCACCUACAUUUUUGUACAUUGCCUACACAUUUUCCAUUCCAAAAUACCCCAGUACAUUUACCCUUGAUUAUGGCAGCUAACCUGACUACAAAUAAGACCAUCUGUUUUUGGCUUUAUCCCUUCCAAAAAUAAAAUACCAAUAAUUUGUGGUGUGCUUGGUAUUUUUGCUUUUACAUCCCACUCAAUUAAUUGCUGAAUGUACACACUGAAAGAAAAUAAGCUACCUCCUUCCAAAGGGAAGCAUUAUUAUAGAUAUACCGACUUGUAAGAGCCAGAACAAAGGGUGUCCUGUGCUGACAGCAAUCUUGACUCCCUUGUUAUAGUACGGGGUGUGGUUAAACACAAACCAACUCACAGCCACCUCCACUAUGAACUCCAAAACACGAGCUGCUACUGAAGAGACAUGGGUAUGUUACAAGUUCAGAAAAAUCGCACAUUUCAAGACAGUGUCAAAUCUACUCUUCCCCUGCUGGCAAGCAGCAUGUUUAUGGCAGACCUGAGUAUGGGAAUUAUUUCACACCCUUACAUAUUUAGGGAAGAUACAGGCCAGAUGACAGAAAAUACUCUGAAACAGCACAGAAUUGGCAAUCUCAAGAUAUUUACAAAUAGGCAAAGAAGCAUAUCGCACCGAAAUUGAAGUUAUUGCUUCUUGUGGACAAGUGUGGUGUUCCUUGUUUGAGACACAGGACUUGUUUGGUGUUUAUUUUUCCCUUCUGAAGCACAAUGAGUUGACACCCCUGUGAGGACAUUUUCAAAAUGAAGGUGUUGUCUGUGACUAAAGCUGUGCAUACAGCAUGGUCAUCACCAGCUGAUGGUGACAGAAAGCUUAUCUAGGUGAGUUUCCACUGGUGUUUUCAAACCCAAGCAUCACUGUCAUGCUUCCAGGGUCAUUCCAGGCUUGGUCUAUGUUACAGGCUUUGAUUCAAGAAAACCUCCCAUUGUCUUUCAGAAGAGAUUUGUGGAUGCCAAGAACAUCAAACUAAAGCUCGUAUCAGUUCCUCAAAUAAUCCAAGGAAUUGCUCCUCUACUGUGCUGAUGGAAGCAGCAAUGGAUCUUGCCUGCAAAAGCAUCACCAGUGCAAUGACUAGUGACCUCCUUUUCCAACACUGUUCCUAAACAUGGGACAAUAGCCCUAACUGCUGGGUCUUUAAAUCAGCUACUUCCAUCUGAAUACAGAAGAUGAAGGGUUUUGAGGAAACAGUAAGUGAACUACAAGUAUGAACUACAAACUCAAGUUGUACACAGAUUUAUGUUUCUUGUAUUUUUGUACUUAACCCUCAAGCCAAAGACUAUCUAUGACCUCAGAGCACAGGACAUCAAAACACUGACCUACCUCCUUUACAUGACUACAGGUGAGUUUCUGCAGGCAUGAAGCCGACAGUAAACAUUAAAUCAACGCAAAUGGAAAAGUUUUACUUUCAGAAGAUAUCAGGAGUUUAAAACAUUGGGAAAAUGGGCCUGCAGGCAACACCACUAUUUGAGUAUCACAGGUGCUGUAAUUCCUCAUCCCCUCCCUCCCUCCCCCAAGAUAAUACAAGGCAACACAAAUAUUCUCAUUGAAAAAGGACUCUGUACAGGGAAUGACUGUACAUUUGAUGUGACUACAGAAUUGAGUGUGUGACAAAAUGAUUCUGCUCCCACUGAAAAAGAGAACUCAACAGGGCCCCAUAGCUUACAGGUUCAGCUGAAACCAGUGAUGCAAGCCCAAAAGUAUAGAAACUGCACUGUCAAUUGUGACAAUUAUCUCAUUUGGACUCCUUUAGAUUUGCAGCGUAAUAAAGGCAUUUUACAGAGCAACAUUCAGGAGAAAAUGUUAUCCAGGGAAGAACUGCUCUUCAAGCACGAUGGGAGAGUUUAGGAACAUGAAGUGCACUUCUUCUCCAGAUAGCAGUAGUUGCUCCUAUUCUUUGCCCUUUUUGAUAUAAAUCACAGCAGCAACAGAGAGAAAUGUGUACUUAAACAGAAGAAACAAACAGAACAAAGAAAAAAACCAAAAACCCAACCAGAAUUAUUUAUGUACAAGAAAAAAAGUCUGACGUGUUGUGCAACUUAUUUUAACUAUCGAAACUCACUAAGAAUACUGUUGCUAAUAAAUAUUCAUAAACUCUUCCCUGUGUUGUGAAAUUCAGAAACUACUACAAUUAAUUCUCAAUAUAAAAAGUAUGCUUCUAAACCCUGAUAUCUGUUCCAGUUCAUUGUCUUUAAAAAAAAAAAAUCAUUUAUUUUAACUGUGAUACUUUGUGGGAACUAAUACAUAUCCACAGUUUUACUCAGUGUACCCACCCAGAGACAUCCUAUGUUAUGUGGAGCUCUGAAAUACCAAUAUAAUACAGUAAAAUAAUAAUAAAUUAAACAAAUGCAGAUGAAUUAAAAAAAAAAAAAGAAAGAAAGAAAAAACCCAAACUAAACAAAAAACCACACUGUCAAAUGCUGGUCUCCACAUGAAGACACCAAGGGUUUAGAUGCAAUGUACUACAGAUCCUGCGACCAAAAAACACAUUCAAACAAGGAAACGUGAACUUGCGCAUGUUCGAAAAAUAAACACAAAUCCCACCUCGAUGUAAUCUCGCCCAUGCCUAUAAAAACCUCUCCCUAUGCCCACACUUGCAGUUAUUCAUUUACACCUCAGGAGGCAGCCUGGAGAUGAGAGUAGUACAAUAAAAUAAUUACCUGAAACAUCUUUAAAAAAAUACCCGUUAAACAAAUUACCUUAACUGGCAGCACUUAAAAUUGGUAAUUCUUUUCUUUUUCCUAUUUUAAAAAAAGUUGCAUAGCUGUAAGAUUUUGCUUUGCUGCAUUUCUUUCUGUAGUUUUGACUCAUGAGCAAUAAAAGAGACGUUUUAGUUACUUAAAUAGCAAUACAAUGUGCAGAUUUCAACAAUCUCUAUAGCUUGAUCAAUAUAAAUUAGUUACCUGUCUUGGUUUGACUCUUUGGACUGCAUUGUGACAAAGGUUUAGUUACAAAACGUUGAAAUACAGUAUUCCUACACAGAGCGGGUUAUGUUUUCUGUUCUUGAAAAAAGUGAAGAACGUAAAACAGGGUGUGAAUUCAGUAAAUUAAGGUCACACUGUUAGAUUUUAUUUAGUUUGCCAUUCACUGUUCUUCAGCCAACGAGAAGGUGACAACGUUCCCACUCCAAUCUGGGGCCGUCCCCCUGCAAGGGUCUCAGAUAGCACGUAUCGAACGUCUCCGCUUCCACUGGAGGCAGUAGGAAACAUGUCCAAUAACUCGCUUCUUCACAGAACCAGAAGUUAGGCUGAAGUUUGGAACUUUGGCCUUCGAUACAAAACAGUGUCAGUAAUGUCUCUGGGGAGUCGAUUGUUACAGGAUGUGCAGCAUUUUCAAAAUCCCUGUGUGUCCUUUGCAUGAGUGUUUGGUAUACUGAGCACUACUGUCAAGUAACGGUGUCUGCAAUGCUUUCUCCGUGUCACUGUCCAUCUUUGCCUUUUUCAGCCACAAAGAACUAAGUCUCAAGCCAGGCACGCUGUGUUCAGCAAGAGAACCUCACAUCUCCUAUGUUUUCUGAUCAGUGGAAGCAGCU